CUCCCUAUAUGUCAACAACACCAACAGUCCCAUUAUAUUAUAUUCUGCUCCUUCCUACUACCCACAACAAUCACACUCUAAUUCAUCUACUUAUUACCAUCCACCACCCCCUGCCGCUUACCAACAACCACCCUACCCUGCUGCUUCCCAUUCAUCUCCCUAUCCACCACCCUCAUCAUAUGCAUACCCUCCAUCACUAUCAUCUCCCUAUCCUAUCCGCCACCCUCCUCAUCACCAUCACCAUACCCUCCUCCCCACUCCUAUCCGCCCGCCAUCAUCAGCUUAUCCACCACCUUCAUACCCUCCACGGGCAGGUUAUCCUCCAAACUCUCCUGGAACAUACCCUCCACCGCCAUACUGACACAAAUCUGCUACUUUCUCAACCAAGGGACCACCGUGCUUUUGUAGAUGAUUAAUUUGUACAAUCUUGCCCAGAUUUUCAGUUUCUCAUUUCUACAUUAGGACCAUUUAGUCUUAAGUUUUUAUUUUGUAGGCAUGACUAUCUAUCUGUCAUUCUAUUAAUACUAAGAUGUGGACUUGUAGUGGCACCA